CACCAAUAACCUACAUGUGGGC
rnacentral:siRNA from 1 species